AAGUCGUAACAAGGUUUGAUUCUUCGCAGCCCGUUUCCUGCUGAAGCCUUGUACCCCAGUCUACCCGUGCGUCUUCACUGAUGCGGUAGGCAACACUGUCCAUGUGCUGAGAGGUCCCAAGAGACAAUCAGCAGCCGCCUCACCGCGGUCCACAGAUCAAACGACGGUGGCCCAAAGUCCAGCUCGCAGCUGAGUACUACGGGUUAAAAUAUGACCGGUCCUGGUUAGAAAUCUCCAGGAAGACACGUUCCGUAGGUGA
rnacentral:ncRNA from 1 species